rnacentral:rRNA from 1 species
AUGGAGAUGGAAGGAAACCAAAUCCAGACCUCGCCCAUGGGGUCCGCGCCGUCAAGGUCAUCCCCCCGGCAGUGGAGCUGGGGCUCGGCCCUCGCCGGCGCCGUCACCACGGCGGCGGCGGCGGGCGUGCUGGUCUGCAGGCCGAGGGACCCGAGCUUCGAGCUCAUCUCCAUGAACCUGUCCACCUUCCACUUCCGGCCGCCGGCGGCGCUGGACAUCGGCCUCACCCUCACCGUCCACGCCACCAACCCCAACGUGGUGCCCGUGCGCUACGGCGCCUCCAACGUCUCCAUCCUCUACGGGGGCACGCUCCUGGGCACCGCGCGCCUCGACGCCGGCCAGCAGCCCGCCACAUCGUGCCGCCUGCUCCACCUCCCGGCCCGGCUCGACGCCAUGGAGCUCGCCCACCACGCCGGCGCCAUCCUCGCCGACGCCACGCGCCGCCACAUGGAGCUGGACGCUGUCGUGGAGAUCGCGGGCGAGGCCGUCGUGCUGCUCUGGUCGCGCCGCUUCUCCGUCCGCAUCGACAGCCACAUCGUCGUCGACCCCGUCUUCCUCGAGGUCGUCGAGCAGGACAACCGCUCCGAGAUGCAGCUCUACCUAACCUGA